rnacentral:rRNA from 1 species
GGAAGUAAAAGUCGUAACAAGGUCUCCGUUGGUGAACCAGCGGAGGGAUCAUUACAGGAUUCGCAAGAACUCCCGUAACCACUGUGAACUUUACCUUUUGUUGCCUCGGCGGGUGCUGGGUCUUCCCAGCGCUCCAGCCCGCCGACGGCCCACAACUCAUUGUCUGAUUCUAUGCAUCUCCGAGCUAUACACAAACGAAUCAAAACUUUCAACAACGGAUCUCUUGGUUCUGGCAUCGAUGAAGAACGCAGCGAAAUGCGAUAAGUAAUGUGAAUUGCAGAAUUCAGUGAAUCAUCGAAUCUUUGAACGCACAUUGCGCCCGCCGGUAUUCCGGCGGGCAUGCCUGUUCGAGCGUCAUUUCAACCCUCAGGCCUCGCCUGGUGUUGGGGCUCCUGCGCACUGCAGGCCCUCAAAGGCAGCGGCGGGUGCGCCUACGAACCGAACGCAGUAGUUUUCUCUCGUUCUGGUCUUGCGGGCGUGCUCCGGCCGUUAAACCCCCCUUUAUAUCCAAUGGUUGACCUCGGAUCAGGUAGGAAUACCCGCUGAACUUAAGCAUAUCA